rnacentral:rRNA from 1 species
UGAAUGCUGGCGGCGUGUCUAAGGCAUGCAAGUCGAACGGAGAAAUUGGAUUCGCAAGAAUUUGAUUUCUUAGUGGCAAACGGGUGAGUAACGCAUUGGUAACCUACCCUGAAGUUCGGAAUAACGUUCCGAAAGGAACGCUAAUACCGGAUGUGUUCGCGGAUCACAUGGUCUGCGAGUAAAGCCCAAAAGGCGCUUCGGGAGGGGCCUAUGACUUAUCAGCUUGUUGGUGAGGUAAAAGCUCACCAAGGCGAUGACGAGUACCGGGUGUGAGAGCACGACCCGGCUCACUGGGACUGAGACACUGCCCAGACACCUACGGGUGGCUGCAGUCAAGAAUAUUCCACAAUGGGGGAAACCCUGAUGGAGCGACGCCGCGUGCAGGAUGAAGGGCUUCGGCUUGUAAACUGCUUUUCCAAGGGACGAAGCUUCGGCUGACGGUACCUUGGGAAUAAGAGGUUGCUAACUCUGU